AGAAGCGGGGGAUAGGACGGUGCCCCGGCAACGGGGUGAAAAGGGAAUGCGGUGAGGGGAAGCCCGAAACCGCAGCUGCCCCCGCAACUGUGAGCGGCGAGUUCCUGCCGAGAGCCACCGGGGCGACCUGGGAAGGCGGCAGGCACGAUAUCAACCGCGAGCCAGGAGACCUGCCGUCCGGCGUGAAACAAG
rnacentral:ncRNA from 2 species